GACGAACGCUGGCGGCGUGCUUAACACAUGCAAGUCGAACGGUGAAGCGCCUUCCUUUUUGGUGGGUGUGGAUGAGUGGCGAACGGGUGAGUAACACGUGAGUAACCUGCCCCCUUCUUCUGGAUAACCGCAUGAAAGUGUGGCUAAUACGGGAUAUUCUGGGUCUGUCGCAUGAUGGGUCUGGGAAAGAUAUUGUUUCGGUGGGGGAUGGGCUCGCGGCCUAUCAGCUUGUUGGUGGGGUGAUGGCCUACCAAGGCGGUGACGGGUAGCCGGCGUGAGAGGGUGGACGGUCACACAGGGACUGAGACACGGCCAGGACUCCUACGGGAGGCAGCAGUGGGGAAUAUUGCACAGUGGGCGCAAGCCUGAUGCAGCGACGCCGCGUGAGGGAUGGAGGCCUUCGGGUUGUGAACCUCUUUCGCCAGUGAAGCAGGCCUGCCUCGUUUGUGGGUGGGUUGACGGUAGCUGGAUAAGAAGCGCCGGCUAACUACGUG
rnacentral:rRNA from 1 species